rnacentral:lncRNA from 1 species
AUAGAAGUUUUGAUACAAAUUACAAUUAAAUUUUCUUAAUAGUACGACUAAUGUAGAUAAACAAAGCUUUAUACAUUUGAGUAUUGGAUAAUAUAUCUUCCAAUUGGCGGGGAAUACUUUCAAUGCUAUUAUUUACACAUGUACCACUAUCACAUAAAUCGUUCGCUAAUAAUAAACGGUCAAUUCCAAACGCAGGGCACCGAAGUACGAUAUGGUCCAAAUCAGCAUUUGCUUGAUUACAGUAAGAACAUCUGUUACUAUUCACUAUAUGAAGUCUAUAAAGAUGUGCUGGAGUCAAACAGUGUCCCAACCUCAUGCGUGUGAUGCAGCUAAAAAACUUUCUGUCAAUAUAUUUGUGUUGAUGAUACCAAGGUUUCGUUGGUAUUGUCCCAUGUACAAGUGAAGGAGCAGUGACUACAUUAGAUGAGACUGGUUCUAUGUCCAGAGGACUCAAUUCGAGUUGUUUGUGAAGAAUGCUAUUGUUUAAGGAUACUAUUUUCAAAUAAAAUCUUUGGGCCAACUGUAAUCUACGCAAAACCAGAGGAGGAGAGACACAGUAUGAUGAUGGUUGCACAUUUAUCUCAAGAAAAGUUGGAAGGUGGUAACUACCCAUUGGGUCAUCAUGAACAUACCAAUUGCAAAGAUGAGCAAUAGAAGAACUAGUAAGAGCCAAAUCUAAUGCAGCAGCCUGUCUACCAGGAUAAGGGACCGUUGUUGUAGAUCCGUCAUUUAAAAUGCAUAAAUCACAAUCGUCUAUAAGGUUAAACAAGCAUUUACCCCUAUUGUUGUCAUAAUUAGAUCCAAAA